rnacentral:lncRNA from 1 species
UCUGCCUUCUCUGCCUCGGCUGCGACAUCCUGGUGGCAGCGCUCUCCGAGGGGCCCAGGGGACAGGACUUACGCAGUUGUGCUGGGUCGUCUCGAAGUCCCAGCUGCAGCUCUUGGCGCGCGCCUGGAUCUCACUCAUCCUGAAGAGGCAGAGCGCGGUGGUGGCGGGGGAGCGUUUCUCCUGGCCCUCUCCCGUGGCCGCGCUGAACACGCCGGCCCAGAUGUCCAGGGCCUCCACCAGGCUGGAGGAAAGGAGCAGGCGGCGACCGUCGGGGUGGCCGUGGCCGCAGUCGAGGGCCGCCUGGCCCUGGAACAGCACCUCGGUGCUCUGUGCGAUGCGCGCCAUGCUGGGCCAGCCGGUGGCGGCGCCGCUCGUGUAGUUGUAGGGGUAGUAGGGGAAGUAGACGCUGCCGUUCCAGAGAAAGGCGUCCACGAAGUGCAGGCUGCCCGCACCAUAGCGCAGUUUAAGGCGGCCCAGCUCCUGCGUGGGCAGGCUGCGCGACUCGGUGUUCUUGAGUGCGAUGGCAGUGCCGCGAUCGGAUGCCGCAGGGUUGCAGCGGCUCGCGGUCUCGGGCUCGGGCAACACGUACGUGGCGGCCACGGCCAGGUACCAGAGGUGGUUGUCGCCCGCACGGUACACUACGCCGGCCGUCGAGCCUUGCGGGUGACAAGACACCACCUCGGUGCCGUUGCGCAGGGAGCCGCGGCUCAGGUUGCCCAGGGGCCGCACCUCGCAAGCGCCCCGAUCGAAGGUCCAACCCGUGAGCAGCAGCCCCUCGAGGCCGGCCGCCCCCUCGCGGUAGGGCAACAGCAGCUUGCUGAAGCUGCUCCCGGGCCGGGGCCGCGCGGGGGGCGCCAACGAGACGGGCUCCGUGCAGUUGCCGGCUUGGUCCCGGUACAGGCGGGAGAGCCUGUGCUUCAGGCUGUAGUCCAGCUGGUCCAGGCAGCUGCCGCUGGCCACGAACACGCCGUUCUCCCGGCUCGCCGCGAUGGCUCCGAUGGCUUGCUCCGAUCGCCACACCGGCUCGUCCGCGCCCCGGGCGGGCGCCGCCAGCGCCAACAGAUAGGCGAGCAGGGGCAGCGGCGCGGCGGGGCGCGGGGGGCGCGGCGGCGCCUUCCUCCCGGAGACCUCCAUGGGGCUGGGGGGGCCGCCCCCGGGUAGGGCGCGCGGCGGCGACGGCGGCUCAGGCGCGCGGCGACGGAGACGCGGGCGGCGGCAGCGGCGGCGGCUCCUGCGCGCGCUCGGGCUCCCGAGGCCGCCUCAUCCCCGCGGCUCGCCCGGGAAGGAGAGCAGGGAGGACGGCGCGCGGCGGGCUCGCUCCGGCAGCCUGUGCAGCAGCAGCAGCAGCGGCGGCGACAAGCCCUGCGCGCUCCGGCACCGCUUCCUCCUCGCCCUCCUUCGCCUGAGAGUUCCUCUGUGCCGCGCGGGCGCUCGCGG